rnacentral:pre_miRNA from 1 species
AGGAGGAACAACCGCAGUGGCGGGGCCAGCUCUGGAGCCCUGGGUUCAGCUCCCACAGUAACUCCAAAGCUCUCCGUCUGCAGGGCCUGGAGGCUCCGGGGCGGG